rnacentral:ncRNA from 1 species
CAACGUUUUGGUCCUAGACUUACUAUUAUCAAUGACUGCCCCUACACAUGCAAGUUUCAGCACCCCAGUGCCUACGCCCACCAUCUUAAACAAAAUCAAAGACCAGGAGCAGGUAUCAGGCACACUAUGUAUGUAGCCCAAGACACCCCGCCAAUGCCACACCCCCACGGAACCCAGCAGUGAUUAACAUUAGGCCAUGAGCCAAAGCUCGACCUAGUCUCAGUCAAACCAUCUAGGGCCGGUAAACUCCGUGCCAGCCACCGCGGUUACACGCAGGGCCCAAGAUAAUAAACACUCGGCGUAAAAUGUGACUAGAGAAUAAUUCAACUAUAAAGAAAUCACAACCACAAUAUAGUUGUAAAAUACCUAUAUAUGUAGGAUUAACCAUAAAAUUUCCUUUGUAGAAUACCUUGACCCCACGAAAACUAAGACACAAACUAGGAUUAGAUACCCUACUAUGCUUAAUCAUCAACCCAGGUAGUACCAUAACCAACUACCCGCCAGAGAAUUACAAGUGAAAAACUUAAAACUCAAAGGACUUGACGGUGUUCCACACCAACCUAGAGGAGCCUGUCCUAUAAUCGAUACUCCACGAUACACCUCACCCUGUCUAGCAACCAGCCUAUAUACCGCCGUCGCCAGCUUACCUAAUGAUAGAAAACCACAGUAAGCAUAACAGACCCUCCCCAAAAACGUCAGGUCAAGGUGUAGCUAAUGACAGAGAAGAGAUGGGCUACAUUUUCUUUAAAUAGAAUACACCGUAAGCAACAUGAAACACAGGCCCAAAGGUGGAUUUAGCAGUAAACUUGGGCAAGACAUGCCUAAUUGAAACCCGCCCUGGAACGCGUACACACCGCCCGUCACCCUCCUCAACAUACAAAUAUAAAACUAAAUAAACCAAUUAAUUACAACAGAUGAGGCAAGUCGUAACAUGGUAAGCGUACUGGAAAGUGUGCUUGGCUAACA